rnacentral:rRNA from 1 species
CUACGGGGGGCUCCAGUGGGGAAUAUUGGACAAUGGGGGAAACCCUGAUCCAGCAAUGCCGCGUGUGUGAAGAAGGCCUGCGGGUUGUAAAGCACUUUCGGUUGGGAGGACUGCUUCUAGCACUAAUAUUGUUGGAAGUUGACGUUACCUUCAGAAGAAGCACCGGCUAACUCCGUGCCAGCAGCCGCGGUAAUACGGAGGGUGCAAGCGUUAAUCGGAAUUACUGGGCGUAAAGCGCGCGUAGGCGGCUAGAUCAGUCGGGUGUGAAAGCCCCGGGCUUAACCUGGGAACUGCAUCCGAUACUGUCUAGCUUGAGUACAGGAGAGGAGAGUGGAAUUCCACAUGUAGCGGUGAAAUGCGCAGAUAUGUGGAGGAACACCAAUGGCGAAGGCAGCUCUCUGGCCUGAUACUGACGCUGAGGUGCGAAAGCGUGGGGAGCAGACAGGAUUAGAUACCCUUGUAGUC